GGCUUGAUAGGUAAAUGGUAUACCCUUAUGCUACGGACAUAAUUUUAAGAGUUCAAGUCUCUUUCAAGUCU
rnacentral:tRNA from 1 species